rnacentral:tRNA from 1 species
GCCCUCGUAGCUCAAAGGAUUAGAGCUUCGCACUCCUAAGGCGAAGAUGGAGGUUCGAUUCCCCCCGAGGGCA